GCAGACACAUUCCAGCCAAUCAGCAGCAGACCCUCCCUCCCAGACCCUCCCAGCUCCUGGACAGCUCACUAAGAAUGCAGCUUCACAAUGAAUGUAAAAUGGAUGCUGUCCAGGAGGUGGGAGGGUCUGGGAGGGAGGGUCUGCUGCUGAUUGGCUGGAAUGUGUCUG
rnacentral:miRNA from 1 species